rnacentral:misc_RNA from 1 species
AACUUUUGGCAACGGAUCACUUGGCUCUCGCAUCGAUGCAGAACGCGGCGAAAUGCGAUAAGUAAUGUGAAUUGCAGAAUUCAGUGAAUCAUCGAAUCUUUGAACGCACCUUGCGCCCCUUGGUAUUCCGAGGGGCAUGCCUGUUUGAGUGUCUUGAAAUCAUCAAACCUAACCGGUCUUGUUGCCGGCGCGGUUUGGACUUGGGGGUGCUUUGCUGCCGCUCGCGGUGGCUCCCCUUAAAUGUAUCGUUCGGGCUUUCGUGCGGCUCUGUCCCUUGGCGUGGUAUUACCCUCGUCGCUGGAUGGCUCGCGAUUCUGCGCCCCUCCCUGACCUGCCUCUGGAGCGGCGGUCUCUAACAUUUUGUGAUCUGACCUCAAAUCAGGUAGGACUACCCGCUGAACUUAAGCAUAUCAAUAAGCGGAGGCU